rnacentral:misc_RNA from 1 species
GAUGAAGAACGUAGCGAAAUGCGAUAAGUAGUGUGAAUAGCAGAAUUCAGUGAAUCAUCGAAUCUUUGAACGCACAUUGCGCCCCUUGGUAUUCCAUGGGGCAUGCCUGUUCGAGCGUCAUUUGUACCUUCAAGCUCUGCUUGGUGUUGGGUGUUUGUCUCGCCUCUGCGUGUAGACUCGCCUUAAAACAAUUGGCAGCCGGCGUAUUGAUUUCGGAGCGCAGUACAUCUCGCGCUUUGCACUCAUAACGACGACGUCCAAAAGUACAUUUUUACACUCUUGACCUCGGAUCAGGUAGGGAUACCCGCUGAACUUAAGCAUAUCAAUAAGCGGAGGA